rnacentral:tRNA from 1 species
AAGACCCUAGUAAAACUAUUACUUAGCUAUGUCAGCGCUAAAUUACAGACUCAACCCCUGUGGGCCUUA